CUUCGCAUGUUCCAUAUGUAAAUACAUAAGUAUUGUGCAAUAUGUAUGCAUAUUUCUCUUGCAUUUAAUUCUCAUUGGUUUGCAUGCAUGGCUUGUAGAUAAAUUUUACCCAUUCUUGGAUUUGCAGGGUUGAAACUUGUACUUUGAUCAGAAUACGCCGAUUGUUCGUUUUCUAUCCCUCUCGAGGAGUAUUUUCUGACCUUUUCUUUUGCAUCUAAGAGCACAUAUCCAAUUAGUUGUAAUGCAAAAUCUUGUGUUGUGGUCUGAUAUUCUGUGUUUUUGUCUACUUGUCCUAUUUGCACUGCAGUGUUGUUACAAAUUCUAUUUCUUUCCAGUGUUCCGUGCGUUUUAUAAUAGCUUUUAUGUAGAGCACACACUCUGUUGAAGAUUUUUAAUUUUCUAGCAUUAUGUACAAGUAUAAGGACUUCAGUUUUAUUGAGCUUCUGUUUGAAAAUUUUACAUCAUUCUGUUGAAAUAAAGCUUGUAACAACACUGGAG